CUCUCUAUAACACAGCAAUAAGACCAGCUCCCAUCUCUCUAUAACACUGCAAUAAGGCCAGCUCCCAUCUCUUUAUAACACGGCAAUAAGACCAGCUCCCAUCUCUCUAUAACACGGCAAUAAGGCCAGCUCCCAUCUCUCUAUAACACGGCAAUAAGGCCAGCUCCCAUCUCUCUAUAACACAGCAAUAAGGCCAGCUCCCAUCUCUCUAUAGCACAGCAAUAAGACCAGCUCCCAUCUCUCUAUAACACAGCAAUAAGGUCAGCUCCCAUCUCUCUAUAGCACAGCAAUAAGACCAGCUCCCAUCUCUCUAUAACACGGCAAUAAGACCAGCUCCCAUCUCUCUAUAACACAGCAAUAAGACCAGCUCCCAUCUCUCUAUAAUACGGCAAUAAGACCAGCUCCCAUCUCUCUAUAACACGGCAAUAAGACCAGCUCCCAUCUCUCUAUAACACGGCAAUAAGGCCAGUUCCCAUCUCUCUAUAACACGGCAAUAAGACCAGCUCCCAUCUCUUUAUAUCACGGCAAUAAUACCAGCUCCCAUCUCACUAUAACACAGCAAUAAGGCCAGCUCCAAUCUCUCUAUAACACGGCAAUAAGGCCAGCUCCCAUCUCUCUAUAACACGGCAAUAAUACCAGCUCCCAUCUCUCUAUAACACGGCAAUAAGGCCAGCUCCCAUCUCUCUAUAACACGGCAAUAAGGCCAGCUCCCAUCUCUUUAUAUCACGGCAAUAAUACCAGCUCCCAUCUCACU